UACGAAGGUCCCAAGCGUUAUCCGGAUUUAUUGGGUUUAAAGGGUGCGUAGGCGGGCUAUUAAGUCAGUGGUGAAAGCCCCAGGCCUAACCUGGGAAUUGCCAUUGAUACUGAUGGUCUUGAGUACAUUUGAAGUGGGCGGAAUGUGUCAUGUAGUGGUGGAAUACUUAGAUAUGACACAGAACACCGAUUGCGUAGGCAGCUCGCUAAACUGUAACUGACGCUGAGGCACGAAAGCGUGGGGAGCAAACAGG
rnacentral:rRNA from 1 species